UAAUUCUUGAACUACUUCUUUGAUAGCAUUUGAUUUACUUGGACUUUUGUUAGCAUUAUUUUAGUCGAUCAAUUAAUUUCAAUCAUUCUUUAAUUCUAGUACUCGAAUGUAACUUAGCCCACGAUCUUCGUGGAUACGAAUCUGACUCACACUAUCUAUAUAGUUGAGGUCAGUAAUUUAUCUUUGAUCGCCUCACGGCAAGACGAAUCAAAUUUUGGCACCAUUACCGGGG
rnacentral:lncRNA from 1 species